ACUCCAGCCCUAGUACGAGAGGACUAGGUUGGGCCAACCUAUGGCGUACCAGUUGUUAUGCCAAUAGCAAAGCCGGGCAGCUAAGUUGGUAUGGAAAAACUGUUGCGCUGCGGGAAAUCCUU
rnacentral:ncRNA from 1 species